rnacentral:rRNA from 1 species
UACAGAGGGUGCGAGCGUUGUUCGGAAUCACUGGGCGUAAAGCGCACGUAGGCGGAUCUUUAAGUCAGGGGUGAAAUCCCGAGGCUCAACCUCGGAACUGCCUUUGAUACUGGGGAUCUCGAGUCCGGGAGAGGUGAGUGGAACUGCGAGUGUAGAGGUGAAAUUCGUAGAUAUUCGCAAGAACACCAGUGGCGAAGGCGGCUCACUGGCCCGGAACUGACGCUGAGGUGCGAAAGCGUGGGGAGCAAACAGG